AAAAAGUAUUGGUGGAAGAACUGUAAGAUAUGGGCAGUGUUGAUAGCAUUUGUUCGCAUCAUCAUCAUCAUCACCAUCACUGUCUGGAGUGUAUCCUCAUGAGUUACAAGAAGAAAUGCAAACCAGUGGAAGCCAUCUCUCUCCUUCAAACCUGCUGUAUUCUCAAGCUCUCACCUUCUGAUAUAUAAAGCAAAAUUAUUUUGAUUAGUC